GACCAUUCGAGAACCCUGGGACUGUCUGCACCCUUGGCAGACUUAGGUCCUGGAGGUGCUGCCCCGUUGCGUGCAAGGGGCCCAUUGCAGUGUGUUCCCAUGCCCGGGCUGGGACACUCGAUGAUAUUUCUUCUGGCACCCCACCAACACCCGCGCUGUCCAUGAGUGUCCGUGCUGAAUAUCUGUGUGCAAGGGCACUGCAGCGUGCAUGGAUCGAUGAUGAUUCAAAUCAAACAUUCCUUGGAAAAGCUGAACAAAAUGAGUGAAAGCUCAAUACGCCUCUCUCAUCGGGACUGAGGUCCGGCACCUUGGGUCGCCCAAAUCCUCCGGGAGUCAGACACAGGCUUGGGAGCCACUCCUCUGCUCCUGCCCUCCUCCAGCAGUAGGCAGAGUCCCUCCCUCCCGAGGGGCUGGUUCUUUGCCCCACUCUGCUAGCAGUCACGCCCAUGGUGAAGACACAGUGGUUGCCUCUUGUCGGGAAAAUUGCCUCGCUCUUGCUGACUAGAAAUCCUGAGAAGAUAUGGGGUGGGGGGUGUGCUAGCCUCCAGCAGUGGCCCUCAGCCAGAUCUCGGCCUUAGCAAAGGGAGCAGGAAGAGCAGAGUCCCCAACUGAUUUGCCCUGCCCAUAAUGGAUGGCAGGGCCCGGGUGGAGCCUUGUUCCAAGUUUUAAGUGGGUUGUAGCCCUCCAGUGUUGCUGCUGAGAGAGACUGUCAAGUCCAGGCUGCAGUGGGAGGUGCCCUGGCUCAUGGCUUCUUGUGCUUUGGUGGCUGUGGUCUCUUGACUUGAUGAGAUUCUGUCAGGGAGCUGAUGGAAGAUGGCGGAGAUUUGUGGGAAGGGCAGCCCCGCAAGGUACUCGUGAGUCCUGAUUUAGAGGAAAAGAAGAGCCUAAGGUUUGAGGGGAUGAAGGCAGCCGAAUCCAGACGGACAUUGCAGAUAGACAGCUAGCCAGGGAAUCCUUACUGAGCUUUUCUGGAAGGCACGCAUAGCACAAGGAGGCCUCAGGAUACCUAGAGGAGGCGAAGGUGUUGACCCGUGCAGGAAGCGGCACUCGGGAGACUUCUGGUGGCGUGGCACCUAGCUCAGGCUUGCUGGCCUCCCCGUGGACGGCAAUGGUGCCAAGAUAUUUUUCUGCCAUCCAGGGACCUAGUUUGCUGCCUGUCUAGACUCCAGGCAAUGUCAUAGCCAGGUUGCACAGGUAUGGUGUUUUAUGCUCUUCAGCAGGUUGUGAUUCCUUCCGAGGGCCCUCUGUGGUGGCCAGCCCCGGUAAGAGUCUUAGAAAUGGCCCCGAGGUGCCAGGCUGUCUGUAAUUCACGACGGCCUCAGGCUUCUGCCCAUGUGGAGUUGAGCCCACGCCAGCGACUCUGGAAUGCUGGGUGGUAUUUCUGCUCCCUGGGAGUUUUGAGUGUGCAGCUUCUCUUGGGAGACCUCAGGCUCCUUGGGAAACCGCCUCAUGGGAGCUAUUGAGACAGGAAGCACGGAUGCAGGGUCUGUGACUCCACACCGGUCUGGGGGACUGUUGAGUAGUACAGUGUGUCCCCUGAAGACAGGUGGUCCGAGACUGGCAGCCAGUCAGAGAAAGAGGCACAGGAACGAAUGGUCGAGGACAGAGAAAGGGACAGAGAAAGAGACGGGGCCAAACAGAGACAAAGACAAAGCCAAAGAGACAGAGAUUGAGAAA
ensembl:lncRNA